GACGAACGCUGGCGGCGUGCUUAACACAUGCAAGUCGAACGGAAAGGCCCUGCUUUUGUGGGGUGCUAGAGUGGCGAACGGGAGAGUAACACGUGAGUAACCUGCCCUUUACUUUGGGAUAACUUCAAGAAACUGGGGCUAAUACCGGAUAGCAUCUCCUGCUGCAUGGAGGGGGUUGGAAAGUUUCGGCGGCUGGGGAUGGACUCGCGGCUUGUCAGCCUGUUGGUGGGGUAGUGGCUUACCAAGGCUUUGACGGGUAGCCGGCCUGCGAGGGUUACCGGCCACAUUGGGACUGAGAUACGGCCCAGACUCCUACGGGAGGCAGCAGUGGGGAAUAGUGCACAAUGGGCGGAAGCCUGAUGCAGCAACGCCGCGUGCGGGAUGACGGCCUUCGGGUUGUAAACCGCUUUCGCCUGUGACGAAGCGUGAGUGACGGUAAUGGGUAAAGAAGCACCGGCUAACUACGUG
rnacentral:rRNA from 1 species